rnacentral:rRNA from 1 species
GACGAACGCUGGCGGCGUGCUUAACACAUGCAAGUCGAACGAAGUGGCGAACGGUUGAGUAACGCGUAAUCAACCUGCCCUUCAGAGGGGGACAACAGUUGGAAACGACUGCUAAUACCGCAUACUGAAGUAGGGGAUUGCGUCUGAUUAGCUGGUUGGAGGGGUAACGGCCCACCAAGGCGAUGAUCAGUAGCCGGUCUGAGAGGAGGAACGGACACAUUGGGACUGGGACACGGCCCAGACUUCGACGGGAGGCAGCAGUGGGGAAUCUUCCGAAAUGGACGAAAGUCGGACUGAGCAACGCCGGGUGAGUGAUGACGGCCUUCGGGUUGUAAAGCUCUGUUAAUCGGGACGCGGUACCGGAAGAGAAAGCCACGGCUAACUACGUGCCAGCAGCCGCGGUAAUAC